GGGGUCGUAGCUCAGUUGGUAGAGCACCACAAUGGCAUUGUGGGUGUCGCAGGUUCGAUUCCUGUCGGCUCCACCA
rnacentral:tRNA from 1 species